GAGUUUGAUCCUGGCUCAGGACGAACGCUGGCGGCGUGCUUAACACAUGCAAGUCGAGCGGUAAGGCCCUUCGGGGUACACGAGCGGCGAACGGGUGAGUAACACGUGGGUGACCUGCCCCCUUCUCUGGGAUAAGCCUGGGAAACUGGGUCUAAUACCGGAUAUGACUCAUGGCUGCAUGGUUGUGGGUGGAAAGUGGUGUUUUCGGACACUGUCGGUGGGGGAUGGGCCCGCGGCCUAUCAGCUUGUUGGUGGGGUGAUGGCCUACCAAGGCGACGACGGGUAGCCGGCCUGAGAGGGCGACCGGCCACACUGGGACUGAGACACGGCCCAGACUCCUACGGGAGGCAGCAGUGGGGAAUAUUGCGCAAUGGGCGGAAGCCUGACGCAGCGACGCCGCGUGGGGGAUGACGGCCUUCGGGUUGUAAACCUCUUUCGGCCCCGACGAAGCGUGAGUGACGGUAGGGGUAGAAGAAGCACCGGCCAACUACGUGCCAGCAGCCGCGGUAACACGUAGGGUGCGAGCGUUGUCCGGAAUUAUUGGGCGUAAAGAGCUCGUAGGCGGUGUGCCGCGUCGGCCGUGAAAACCUGCAGCUUAACUGUGGGCUUGCGGUCGAUACGGGCAUCACUGGAGUUCGGCAGGGGAGACUGGAAUUCCUGGUGUAGCGGUGAAAUGCGCAGAUAUCAGGAGGAACACCGGUGGCGAAGGCGGGUCUCUGGGCCGAUACUGACGCUGAGGAGCGAAAGCGUGGGGAGCGAACAGGAUUAGAUACCCUGAUAGUCCACGCCGUAAACGUUGGGCGCUAGGUGUGGGGGCCAUUCCACGGUCUCUGUGCCGUAGCUAACGCAUUAAGCGCCCCGCCUGGGGAGUACGGCCGCAAGGCUAAAACUCAAGGAAUUGACGGGGGCCCGCACAAGCGGCGGAGCAUGUGGAUUAAUUCGAUGCAACGCGAAGAACCUUACCUGGGUUUGACAUGCGCCAGACGCGUCUAGAGAUAGGCGUUCCCUUGUGGUUGGUGUGCAGGUGGUGCAUGGCUGUCGUCAGCUCGUGUCGUGGGAUGUUGGGUUAAGUCCCGCAACGAGCGCAACCCUUGUUCCAUGUUGCCAGCGGGUGAUGCCGGGGACUCAUGGGAGACUGCCGGGGUCAACUCGGAGGAAGGUGGGGAUGACGUCAAGUCAUCAUGCCCCUUAUGUCCAGGGCUACACACGUGCUACAUUGGCGCGUACAGAGGGAUGCAAUACCGCGAGGUGGAGCAAAUCCCACAAAGCGCGUCUCGGUUCGGAUUGGAGGCUGAAACUCGCCUCCAUGAAGGUGGAGUUGCUAGUAAUCGCGGAUCAGCAACGCCGCGGUGAAUACGUACACGGGGCUUGUACACACCGCCCGUCACACCACGAAAGUCGGCAAUACCCGAAGCCGGUGAGCUAACCGCAAGGAGGCAGCCGUCGAAGGUAGGGUUGAUGAUUGGGGUGAAGUCGUAACAAGGUAGCCGUAGCGGAAGCUGCGGCUGGAUCACCUCCUUUCU
rnacentral:rRNA from 1 species